rnacentral:snoRNA from 1 species
AUCCUUUUGUAAUAUAUAAUCAUGAUGACUGAGUUUUCACACCAUUGUGCAAGAUGUACCUUCCUUGAACCUUGUUACAUUGGUGCUAAUGUACUCAUCUAGAGU